GUGGCUCACGCCUGCAGGGCGAGAAAAUGAAAGGAGGAGGAGAGAGAGAGAGGGCGAGUAUGUGAGCAACUCAGAAUGGAGCUUUGUGGGUUAGAUGGAGAGCAAAGUGAGAUCAGAGGCAAAGUGAAUACAAGUGUGUGCAAAAGGAGAACCGCCGUGUCAGGGUACGGCUGCUGCCCUGCAGACUGCAUGGCUGCUUUGACCAGAAACCCUGCUGAGGAGAACACAGACGAGCGCCGGCUCUGACCUGGGGACACAAUCUGCUUUCCUUCCUCCAGAUUCACGUCUUCAUCCAGACGUUUUCUACCCAGUCAUCACAGCUGUUAGACGAAGAAACAUAACUGUGGCAAACACUGAAUGACUCAGUUUGAACAUGUCCUGUUUGUGUUAGCAGCUGGCUGCACGACAUAUUCGCCUGGAGGUUUGCAUCAAUCUGUCCUCUCAAAUUCUUAUCAGGCCUGCAGUUUGGGACCUUUACCACUGCAUGGUGGAUGUGCCUGUUAUUGGAGUUUAAUGAACAGUUUUCACCUGUUUCAUUGGAACCAAACAGCACUGAGCUGAUCCAAUCAUGCUUUUUGAAGAGACUUUUACAUGCUAGACCAACACAGAGGUAAAAGUGUAAAAGCAGCUGCGUUUCCAUCGACUGUAUAUUUUGAUCAAUUUUGCAGAAACUCUCGUUUUUCCAUAAUAAGUUUUGGCGAUAGGAUGAGGUGUUUUUUUUUUGGGCUGUAUUGAAAUCAGUUUAUGUUGAAAAACUGCAAUGGAAAAACUUCUUUUGAGUCACAUGAUCACAGCAAGUAGUUGGAGGAAGAUGGCACGGCGUAUUUUUCAAUGAUUUAUCACAUGACAAACUUAUUUACCUGUGAUUUUAAUGGCACUUCUUGUAUAACAUUCCAGCUGUUUCUACUAUGUUUCUAUAUUAUGUUGUUUUUAUAUAACAUUGGUGCUGUGCCACACUAUUAAUUAAAUGCCUUUGAGAGUUUUUAAAUGUAAAAACUUACAAAAAUUCUUAAAAAUUCACAAAUUUUGUGAUGGAAGCUAUUGGUUGAUUUAUUCAACAAACUGGAAAUAAACAUAGACAUAGCAAACAAAAACAUGAGAUACAACUACGACAAAUACAUUUUAAAAAACGUAAAAAAGACUUGCAUCCCACUGUUUCCACAAAGACGACUGGUAAAGUAGCACUGCAGUACUGGGCACUCUGUCUAUAAAAACUGAAAUGUCUAAAAUUCUUCUUCGUAAAGCAGCUCAAACUCAGACUGGAUGGAGCAACGAUCUCCUUCUUGCAACAGUAAAGUUGCGAAGCAUUUUUAUUCUUUGCACAUUUCUUAGCAAUCUGUUAUACAUAAGUACAAUUAAAUAUGAAGCAAUAAAAAGAUCAAAUUACCCACUGA